UGGGGAAUUUUGGACAAUGGGGGAAACCCUGAUCCAGCCAUCCCGCGUGUGCGAUGAAGGCCUUCGGGUUGUAAAGCACUUUUGGCAGGAAAGAAACGUCGCGGGUUAAUACCCCGCGAAACUGACGGUACCUGCAGAAUAAGCACCGGCUAACUACGUGCCAGCAGCCGCGGUAAUACGUAGGGUGCAAGCGUUAAUCGGAAUUACUGGGCGUAAAGCGUGCGCAGGCGGUUCGGAAAGAAAGAUGUGAAAUCCCAGAGCUUAACUUUGGAACUGCAUUUUUAACUACCGGGCUAGAGUGUGUCAGAGGGAGGUGGAAUUCCGCGUGUAGCAGUGAAAUGCGUAGAUAUGCGGAGGAACACCGAUGGCGAAGGCAGCCUCCUGGGAUAACACUGACGCUCAUGCACGAAAGCGUGGGGAGCAAACAGGAUUAGAUACCCUGGUAGUCCACGCCCUAAACGAUGUCAACUAGCUGUUGGGGCCUUCGGGCCUUGGUAGCGCAGCUAACGCGUGAAGUUGACCGCCUGGGGGAGUACGGUCGCAAGAUUAAAACUCAAA
rnacentral:rRNA from 1 species